rnacentral:rRNA from 1 species
AUACGGAGGGUGCAAGCGUUAAUCGGAAUUACUGGGCGUAAAGCGUGCGUAGGUGGUUUGUUAAGUCAGAUGUGAAAGCCCCGGGCUCAACCUGGGAACUGCAUUUGAAACUGGCAUACUAGAGUAUAGGAGAGGAAAGUGGAAUUUCAGGUGUAGCGGUGAAAUGCGUAGAUAUCUGAAGGAACAUCAAUGGCGAAGGCAGCUUUCUGGACUAAUACUGACACUGAGGUACGAAAGCGUGGGUAGCAAACAGGAUUAGAAACCCCUGUAGUCC